rnacentral:rRNA from 1 species
CAGCGCCACGAGUGGGGGCCGUGUUUAUUGGGCCUAAAGCAUCCGUAGCCGGCGCUGUAAGUUUUCGGUUAAAUCUGUACGCUCAACGUACAGGCUGCCGGGAAUACUGCAGCGCUAGGGAGUGGGAGAGGUAGACGGUACUCGGUAGGAAGGGGUAAAAUCCUUUGAUCUAUUGAUGACCACCUGUGGCGAAGGCGGUCUACCAGAACACGUCCGACGGUGAGGGAUGAAAGCUGGGGGAGCAAAACGGAUUAGAUACCCGAGUAGUCC